GACAGAGGGUGCGAACGUUGUUCGGAAUUACUGGGCGUAAAGCGCAUGUAGGCGGCAGCGCAAGUCGGGCGUGAAAUCCCACGGCUCAACCGUGGAAGUGCACUCGAAACUGCGCAGCUAGAGUCCUGGAGAGGAAGGUGGAAUGCUUGGUGUAGAGGUGAAAUUCGUAGAUAUCAAGCGGAACACCGGUGGCGAAGGCGGCCCUCUGGACAGUGACUGACGCUGAGAUGCGAAAGCGUGGGGAGCAAACAGG
rnacentral:rRNA from 1 species